AUGUACCACGCGUACGCUCCGGUCCUGAGCGCGGCGCCCGCACUCACCUGACACCGCCCGCUAGUUUUAUUAGCC
rnacentral:sRNA from 1 species